CUGAUUAACAUUUACCUAAUUGUAGUUUCUUGUGAUUUCUUUGCAGGUUUAUUUCUACUUGUUCUGCCAGAGGGCUGUUCAGGAUCUGCAACCAGUGAACCACUGAAGAGCUGUGCUGGUGCAGAGGGAGCCUGCAGUGAAAUUCAAUAUGAAAUAAUCAUAAACCAUCUAAUUGGUAUUAUUCAAGCUGAAAAGUAAUGCAAAUGGGAAAUGCACUAGAAUAGAACUGGAUGGUUUAAGUUCAUCAUCUGUUCAUCUCUUGAU